GUGCAAUAGUGUUAAUUCAAAUAAAAAUGGGGGGUCCAGCAAUAAAUAUUUGAUGUAAUCAUAAUAUAUACUUGAUGUGGUAUAAGAGGUAGGCAGUUCAAUUCAAGUUACUUCAUAAAGUGCAGUAGUUCAAUUCUAUUGGAAAGUGCUUCUGUACUCUGAAAGUGCUUUAAUAGUGACACACUGUCCCCUUAGAGUGCUUGGUAUGCAUCUAGUUUUUAAAGUUUUUAAAGUGGUCAGCAGGCAGCAGCUCAAUGGCAGGAACUUCACAACAAUAACAGUUUGAGAAUUACAGUGUUGGUAGGCGGUAAGUCUCUUCGUAAAGUGCUUGCUGCAUAGCAAGUUUGGUAACUGAAACUUCACCUUGCCUUCCUCCACCGUGAUAGAAUUAUACUACAGGAGCUGGUCCAGUCACAAAGAUGUCAAUAGGGCAGCGCGAAAUAAGGGCGAGUUGCCCCACUAGAAUCUCACCAAGCACAGGGUCCUUGAUCCACCAGCACACACAGUCUUGUCACAGAACACUGUCUGCUUUCUCCAGUAGCUGCUCCUCCAGCAGCUGCUCAGCCGCCAGCAAGCACAGUGAGUAAAAGCAGUAGAAGGGGGGGCCAGUGGAAGGGGGGCAGAGCCAAGCGGCUCCAGCACAGCAGCAGCAGCCCCACAACUCCAGCUGCAGUGUGAUAGUCCAGACGACCUCCAAGAUGGCACAGAUUGAUCUAAAAUGGGUUUUUACCCAUGAUUUCACAGAAAUUUGCCCACAUGAAGAGAAGAUUUAGCAUGCAAGUAAUGCAGGGACAAAAGAGGAGUAUGGUGAGCAUCUAUGGCAUCCUGGAGAUGAAGGAGAGGACACGGGAAUUGUCCCUGCUAGCCAUGUGGCAAGAGGGCUGGGGAAAGAGACUAUCUUAGAGUUUCAUCCUCAUUAGAGGUUGUAUGACUUGAGGAUCAAUACCCAUGGGCUGGCAUUCCUGAAAAUGACUGUGAGCAACCCUGAUUUUGGAAAGGGGUUUUUUGAAAAUAAUGUUAGGAAUCCUUCUCUGUAAGACAGACCCCGUUUUAAGGAAAAAGAGUAAAUUUGCACUUGGUACACAAGUCUAUGUGUAUUUAAUUCAAAUGGAGUCUAUUCAAAGCAAGUCCCUCUUUGCAGGGCUUUCUACUUCCCCUGCCUUUUGCUAAGGGUGUAUAUUCCAUUACUUCAAGAAGCAAUUUAGUGUCACAGAGUUUGGGAUGUUCCAAAGCUUGAUGACAUUGAAACAGUUUGCUUUUGCUUCAGCCUACUGGAGAAGACAAGAAUCUGUUCCGUCCUUUCCUUCUCUCUGCUGAGUGCAAACUUUAUAUUCAGUUUACAUCAACUGAAAUAAUACACGGACAAAGGGAAGAAAGAGAACAGGGAAAAAUCAGUUCAUUUUAAAAGGUGCUGAAAAGUAGAUGGCAGAGGGUUAACCCUUGCCAAAGAGCGACAGUUGGGGGCAGGGGGUAUGUGAUCACUGACCAUAAAAUUUUAGAUGUCUCAAAACAGUCCUUGUUUCAGACCUCGGUUUUAUCAGACACAUUCUGAAUGGAUUUGUACCAAAUUGCUUGCUUUCAAAUCACCAAUGUAAAUCCCUAAACCAAGUCCCAUGUUCAUAUGAAAUCUCCUUCCACUCUUACUUUUUAAAGUCUGUGUUAGCCCAAAAUCUCACAACAAUAGUGAACAAGUCUAAUUUUUCAUGAUUUCAAAAUUUUCUGGAGAAAGGCAACCUUUGAAAACACAUUUACAGAAAUGAUGAAGAGGGCUAAAGUGAAGCCAUGGAUAAAUUGUUAAAAGAAUUCACCUAGUAAAAUAGAAAUUUGUCUUUGAUCUAUUUUCCCUCCCUUUUGAAAAGUGGUUGUACACUCUGAAACAUUUCUCUCUAUCAAGAGUUUUGUAAAAAUCAGCACUGCCAAUGAAAUAUAGAGUGCUACGAAGAAGAAACUACUGCAGAUUUGAGACUGAUCAAGCCACUGAUACAUUUUUCUAACAUACAUCUGACUUGCAGUU
rnacentral:lncRNA from 11 species